rnacentral:rRNA from 1 species
CCUACGGGUUGCAGCAGUAGGGAAUCUUCCGCAAUGGACGAAAGUCUGACGGAGCAACGCCGCGUGAGUGAUGAAGGCUUUCGGGUCGUAAAACUCUGUUGUUAGGGAAGAACAAGUGCUAGUUGAAUAAGCUGGCACCUUGACGGUACCUAACCAGAAAGCCACGGCUAACUACGUGCCAGCAGCCGCGGUAAUACGUAGGUGGCAAGCGUUAUCCGGAAUUAUUGGGCGUAAAGCGCGCGCAGGUGGUUUCUUAAGUCUGAUGUGAAAGCCCACGGCUCAACCGUGGAGGGUCAUUGGAAACUGGGAGACGUGAGUGCAGAAGAGGAAAGUGGAAUUCCAUGUGUAGCGGUGAAAUGCGUAGAGAUAUGGAGGAACACCAGUGGCGAAGGCGACUUUCUGGUCUGUAACUGACACUGAGGCGCGAAAGCGUGGGGAGCAAACAGGAUUAGAUACCCUAGUAGUC